rnacentral:rRNA from 1 species
AGUGAACGCUGGCGGUAGGCCUAACACAUGCAAGUCGAACGGCAGCACAGUAAGAGCUUGCUCUUACGGGUGGCGAGUGGCGGACGGGUGAGGAAUACAUCGGAAUCUACUUUUUCGUGGGGGAUAACGUAGGGAAACUUACGCUAAUACCGCAUACGACCUACGGGUGAAAGCAGGGGAUCUUCGGACCUUGCGCGAUUGAAUGAGCCGAUGUCGGAUUAGCUAGUUGGCGGGGUAAAGGCCCACCAAGGCGACGAUCCGUAGCUGGUCUGAGAGGAUGAUCCGCCACACUUGAACUGAGACACCGUCCAGACUCCUACGGGAGGCAGCAGUGGGGAAUAUUGGACAAUGGGCGGAAGCCUUAUCCAGCCAUACCGCGUGGGUGAAGAAGGCCUUCGGGUUGUAAAGCCCUUUUGUUGGGAAAGAAAAGCAGCAGGUUAAUACCCCGCUGUUCUGACGGUACCCAAAGAAUAAGCACCGGCUAACUUCGUG